rnacentral:rRNA from 1 species
UACGGGGGGGGCAAGCGUUGUUCGGAAUUACUGGGCGUAAAGGGUGCGUAGGCGGUCCCGUAAGUCCGCUGUGAAAGUCAAAGGCUCAACCUUUGAAAGCCGGUGGAUACUGUGGGGCUAGAGUCCGGAAGAGGCGAGUGGAAUUCCUGGUGUAGCGGUGGAAUGCGCAGAUAUCAGGAGGAACACCAAUAGCGAAGGCAGCUCGCUGGGACGGUACUGACGCUAAGGCGCGAAAGCGUGGGGAGCGAACAGG